GGUGCAUGGUUGUCGUCAGCUCGUGUCGUGAGAUGUUGGGUUAAGUCCCGCAACGAGCGCAACCCUUGAUCUUAGUUGCCAGCAUUCAGUUGGGCACUCUAAGGUGACUGCCGGUGACAAACCGGAGGAAGGUGGGGAUGACGUCAAAUCAUCAUGCCACUUAUGACCUGGGCUACACACGUGCUACAAUGGAUGGUACAAAGGGCUGCAAACCUGCGAAGGUAAGCGAAUCCCAUAAAGCCAUUCUCAGUUCGGAUUGCAGGCUGCAACUCGCCUGCAUGAAGCCGGAAUCGCUAGUAAUCGCGGAUCAGCAUGCCGCGGUGAAUACGUUCCCGGGCCUUGUACAC
rnacentral:rRNA from 1 species